rnacentral:rRNA from 2 species
UACGGAGGGUGCAAGCGUUAUCCGGAUUUACUGGGUUUAAAGGGUGCGCAGGCGGAUAUGUAAGUCAGUGGUGAAAUCUUCCCGCUUAACGGGAAAACUGCCGUUGAUACUAUAUAUCUUGAAUGCCGUGGAGGUAAGCGGAAUAUGUCAUGUAGCGGUGAAAUGCUUAGAGAUGACAUAGAACACCGAUUGCGAAGGCAGCUUACUACACGGAUAUUGACGCUCAUGCACGAAAGCGUGGGGAUCAAACAGG